UGCUCAUCCAGAGGGGCAGAGGGAACGGCCCUGCGAAGCCCCAGCAACCAGCCCACACCGCCACGCGUACGUGCGUGACCGGCGGGCCAGGUGCUAAAUCCGUCCCGGACAGGUCGUCCGGGAGAGAUGACGA
rnacentral:ncRNA from 2 species